ensembl:lncRNA
CUCAGUGCUGGGAUUACAGGUGUGUGCUACCAUGCCUGGCUUGAGACCUUUUCCAUUCUCAGUAGCCACGACUCUUUUUGAAGAUACUGAAUCUCUAAUCAUUGAAGAUUUUCAAGCAGCGGCUGAUGGUGGAUUUGUUACAAAGAAAGUUCAGGCUUUCAUGGAAGACCCUUCUGGAAGGUGUAGCAGUCAGGACUAAUUAUUUUGUUUGUUUUAAUUCCUGGGAAAAGAUGCUACUUGUAGCAAGCUUAUCUGGAGGUCUUCUAUCCAUUUGACUCCUCAGGACUGUUUUAGUCAAAUUGGACAAAAGGCAGAGAGAGAGAGAGCUAAAAAUGCAGGAUUGGACCCCAAGAAGGGAGUUCAUGCAGCAUUGGGAGGAAACAGCUAUUUUGAUGUCAGUAAAUGAUUACUCACACACUCCCCAGGGAGACCUUUGUGGCCUGGGCCGGCUUGUAUCAUCCUGAUCAAAGUGGAACCUGCCAAUAAAAUGCGGUACUUUCCAUACAGUAGGGCACUCAUAGGGCUUUACAGUUAACCAGAUAUUUCCCUACAAAUUAUAGUCAAACCAUCCCAGUGGGCUGGAGGUAGUUAUUAUUAUCAUCUGAGUUUCACUGCUAGGACCCUAAGCCUUGCAAAGGUAAAACGACUUACUCAGGCAGGACCCAUGCUAGUUGAUGUUGGGGCGGGACUUCAGUUUUCUGUUUGUGCAAUACCAAGUUCUUCCUGUGCAGGUCUCUGAGUUAGACUGUAGCUUUUGUUCAUGUUCCUAGUCUCAGCAAUCAUUGCAGAUACUGAUUAAGUGCUAAAAAUGUAAUAAACAUUUGUUGAAUGAACCUGUGAGUGAAUGAUAUACUGUAAAUGAAGUAAUAAACAACUACUUGAAUUUGAAGACUAUCUUUAUUAGUAACAAAUCGAGUGCUUCUAAACAUUAGACCAUUAUCAGAAGACAAUGAGAAAGAACUCAUUGAGAAUACAUUUAGUGAGACACUGAAGAACAAACAUCAAAGUGUCCGUGCCCGAAUACUUCUCUUUGAUCUCUUACAUGACCGUAACCCUGACCUUAUUUGCCCCAAAGUAUGUCUUCUUUCUUGUAUAUGUAGGAUGAUUCUUUUCACUUAAUAUUAGUAUUAAAAAGGCUCUUUUUUUUGGUUUUGUGUUUUGUUUUAUGUGCUCAAAGAUUUGUUAAAAUCAUUAAAUCCCAGUGUCAUCAUUACCAGUACUAGGAUAGAUUUCACUUUAAAAAAUCAAAUGCAAGUCUGUAUGUUGGAACGUGCAGGGAUAAGCAGCAAGAUAGAUAGCUUCUAUUCCCCUCUUCACUAUUCCCG